AGCGAUGACUUUGCUGCUUUCUCCACCUCCGCCCCGGCGAGCCAGCACAGGGCAGAGCACACCGUGAUUGUGACACCGGGUGCCCAGAGUGCCACAAACAGGUUUUCGGCGCUGAGGUCGCCUGGAUGUGGAGGGUUUGGCCACAUGGCAGGAGGAGGAAGCCUCCUCCAGGGGCUGCCUGCGCUGGGCACUGUCAGAAGCCAGCAGAGCCAGGAGUAAAGCAGCUGGGGCAAGCCAAGCACACCGAUUCCCCGUGGAAAAUGCAGGGACCAACAGGAGAAGCAUGCCCAUGCCAGCACCCAGCGAAGGGUGGGCAUGGCAGGGAGAGGUCGGCGUCCCCUUCCUGAGCGGGGAGCCAGCUCCCAGCCGGGGACGUGCCCCGGUGCCAUACACACCUGGCUGGAGAAGGGAGCGGCGCUGACAGUGCACGAUGGCCGAAACAAGGAGCUCUUUCAGGCGCUGGAGGACUUUGCCCGGUGCCAGGUGCCGCACCGUGCCAC